GAGUACGGCCGCAAGGCUGAAACUUAAAGGAAUUGGCGGGGGAGCACUACAACGGGUGGAGCCUGCGGUUUAAUUGUACUCAACGCCGGAAAACUCACCGGGGGCGACAGCAAUAUGUAGGUCAGGUUAAAGGUCUUACCUGAAUCGCUGAGAGGAGGUGCAUGGCCGUCGUCAGUUCGUACUGUGAAGCAUCCUGUUAAGUCAGGCAACGAGCAAGACCCGUGCCCACUGUUACCAGCAUAUCCUUUAUGGAUGAUGGGGACUCUGUGGGGACCGCUGCUGCUAAAGCAGAGGAAGGUGCGGGCUACGGUAGGUCAGUAUGCCCCGAAUCUCCCGGGCUACACGCGGGCUACAAUGGUUGGGACAAUGGGUAUCUACUCCGAAAGGAGUUGGCAAUCUCUUAAACCCAAUCGUAGUUCGAAUUGAGGGCUGUAACUCGCCCUCAUGAAGCUGGAAUCCGUAGUAAUCGCGCUUCAACAUAGCGCGGUGAAUCUGUCCCUGCUCCUUGCACACACCGCCCGUCAAACCAUCCGAGUGAGGUAUGGGUGAGGGCACGAACUUAGUGUCGUGCUCGAACCUAAAUUUCGCAAGGAGGGUUAAGUCGUAACAAGGUAGCCGUAGGGGAAUCUGCGGCUGGAUCACCUCCU
rnacentral:rRNA from 1 species